UCCAUACUUUCUACAUGUUUUAUAACAUUGACUUUUACAUUGUCGUUCAUUGACAAUAAUUAUUCAGAUAUGAAUAAUUUUGACACAUAUGUAUUUUACUUGCCAGUAUGCCACAUAUUAUUAAUGCAUGAAUCCAAUCGUUCAAUUAGCACCCAUAAACUUAUGAAAUAUGGACUGGAACGAUCGGCGGUUUUUUCCCUGAUAUGUGGCGUUUGUUUGGUCUGGCACCGCUUAUCGGCCAUGAUACUCUUACUAUUAUGGGGAGGAGAUGAUCAACUUAUAUAUGCGAACUGCAUAUUAUUCUGGAUUUUCUGCUUAUCAAUAGGUCGCCAGUGGUUUUUGGACAUCGAAAUUAAUCCACAGAAGUAUAAAAAAUACUUCAGAACUGAACGAAAUCGUCGUGCUGUUUCUAAACAAAGGGAUGGUUCCUUAAACUUUGCAAAAAUUGGACAGAAAAUAGCUGGUUGGAUGAGACGUAGUUGUAUUUGUUCGAAUCAAUUAACAAAUAUUUCCAAGAAUAAUGAGAUCGAUUUGAAGCAAUUGGCAUAGGAAAAAUGGGUUGAUCUCGCCAUAAAAACAAAUUUGACCAGGAAAAUUUUGAAAUAAAAGAAUCACGAAGACUUCUUUUUAAAUACAUUAAA